rnacentral:lncRNA from 1 species
CGCUGACCAAGUGCCAGGCCUCACUGAAGCUGACCUCCGCGUUAACCCUGGACACAAGCCGAGCAGGAAGGAUAAUGCCGGCUUGACAACUCCACUGGUUUCUGCUCCCACUGGCCCUACCUCUGUUAGAGGUGUUCGCCAGGCACCCCAUGCGGUCACCAGCAGACAGCCGCUUUCUGCACAAGUUCCAAGAUGGACUCACAGCAGUCCCCGCCAGCCAUGACGCUGAGAUGGGUGUACACCCAGCUCUGGAGGAACCCAACCGCCUGUGGUCUCUCCACAACGGCUGCAAAAUACUGCUUCAGUUUUGAUUCUUUCAUGGAGGAAGACGUAACUUCAAGUUAAAAGCAGCAGGCGCACCGCUCACCCCUGGACGCUGAGGCUAGACACUGGGUGGAAACCGGUUCCUUCCGGCCCCCGGGCCCUGCACCAGAGCUCGACCCCCACCGCCUCACCUGUCCUGAUGGCGUCCUCCAGCCUGGGGUUUCUCUCUCCCUGGAGAAGCUGGUGGUAGUAGCCGGGAUUCUGGUCCAUCUGCGCCUGGGCCCCACUCAGCACCAUCCAGACGCGGGCACGGUGCUCCAGCGGGACCCCUUUCCGGACAUAGCGCUUCACUGAAGGCCGAGAGGACGGACAGCGUGUGAGCUGGACCAGGGGCCUGCGGGGCCCACGCGUUCCUGCCACACUUUCCACUCUCACCAGUUCUCUUCUUAAAUCAAAUAUUAAAGAGACCCAGAACUUCGUCCAUCUCCACCAAAACUGGUACAUAUACUCCUUUAAAAAUUCUGCUCUCCUCUCCCUCUCAACAGAGCACAAACCAGACUGGCUACAGAACCGCCCCCACGCCCACUUCACCAUUCAAUGCAG